GCUCAAAUUUGAAAUCUUCAAGGUUUUACCUUGACGAAUUGUAGUUUAAAGAAGUGUUUUCUGUUGGUGUUUUGGUAAAAGUUCUUUGGAAUAGGACAUCAUAGAGGGUGAGAACCCCGUAUUUGACCAUUACUUCCAGCGUUGUGAUACACUUUCAAAGGGUCGGAUUGUUUGGGAAUGCAGUCCAAAAUGGGUGGUAAAUUUCAUCUAAAGCUAAAUAUUGGCGAGAGACCGAUAGCGAACAAGUACCGUGAGGGAAAGAUGAAAAGAACUUUGAAAAGAGAGUUAAACAGUACGUGAAAUUGUCAAAAGGGAAGCGUUUGACACCAGUGUUGUUUUCUCGAAAAUCGAUUAAAAAAAGUUGGAUUUUGUAUUGUUAAGACCUUAUCAGCUUACUGUACUCUUUUCUUGCUUUUUUUAAUGCACUUUUCGUUUAACAAG
rnacentral:rRNA from 1 species